ACCAACUUGUCCUUGAAGACGCAGUGCUGGCAGAUGUGGGAAGAGUGACUAAGGCUGCCAGUUAUGACUGGAGAGGCUGGGUGAGCUGUCCCCAAGGCCCUCCUGCCAUCUUCCUAGAGGUGAGAGGCAGGGGAGCCCGGGCCAGGGCAGGAUGGAGCUGUGUGGCAGCCCUCUCCCUGGUGGAGGACGUGGCUGUGAAAUGGGAAGAGUGAGUGGCUACAGAAAAACACAAACCGAAGACUCCAGUCCUCUGAGACCUGUUAUCAUCUCAGCUGCUUCCGACUUCAUUUUCCCUGUCUAUAAAAUGAAGCAAAUAUAGUAACCUUGUCCUUGAAUGUAUUUAUCAACAGUGAAGU